rnacentral:tRNA from 1 species
UUCCUGGUGGCUCAGUGGUAAAGAAUCCACUUGCCAAGCAGGAGAUGCAGAUUUGAUCCCUGCUCAGGAAG